rnacentral:misc_RNA from 1 species
GAUGAAGAACGUAGCGAAAUGCGAUACGUAAUGUGAAUUGCAGAAUUCAGUGAAUCAUCGAAUCUUUGAACGCACAUUGCGCCUGCCAGCACUCUGGCAGGCAUGCCUGUUCGAGCGUCAUUUCAACCAUCAAGCCCUAGGCUUGCGUUGGAGCCCUGCGGCUGCCGCAGGCCCCUAAAAGCAGUGGCGGGCUCGCUAUCACACCGAGUGCAGUAGAUUACUCUUCGCUCAGGGCGUGUGGCGGGUUCCAGCCGUGAAACCCCCUACUUCUCAAGGUUGACCUCGGAUCAGGUAGUAAUACCCGCUGAACUUAAGCAUAUCAAUAAGCGGAGGGA